GUUGUAUGUUGUGGAAACUAUGAGUAUUUUUCCAUUACUUUGAUUAUUGUGCAAUGCUCAUUACUGACUUGUCACUGCCUUUCAUCAACAGACACCUGCAACACCAGAGGCACAUACCUGUUUCCAGGAAUCGCUGAUGCCUUUAAAUUCCUCUCUCAAGGUACAUGCCCUUGCAACAGCUCAGGCGAUAAGAGACGGUGGGAGAUGCACCAAGCAGAACGAUGUGAAAGUCUAUCAUGUCUAAAAGACAUAGGUUGCCUGAUCCGAUUCCUGAGCAGUUUUCCCAGACUGCACUGCUGCAGUAGCCGGCGCCAGCUAGGGAAAUACUGCUCCAUUGAUGGAGGCUGGUCCUUUUUAAAAAUGCAUAAGACGAAAGGAUGAGCAUGGGAGCAAACAGAUAUGUGUGAAUGCCUCAGAGAUUCUGGUAGGAUGACCGGUGAACUAAUCCGAAAAGGUUUAAAGGUCCCCUCAGGAGCUGACACCAUGAAAAAGUGAAAUGUCAAGUUAGAUAUCCACACCUGGGUUGAGCCAUAGUGUAUGUUUACUCCUAUUCUCAGCUAUGCAUGUUAAGUAUGAGUCUCUUAUGAAUACUACUGUUUAAUAAAAUAUCCUGAUGAUUGUAUAUAAAAGUAAUCAUAGUACUGUACAGAUGUAAGAUCUUAAUUUGACCAGUUUUGAAGCAGGAGUAAAAUAAUGCUGCAGCAGGAGGAUUUGAUUACUGAAAAUGUAUAUAUUUUUAAUACGCUAUAAUUGGCUGUAGUUUUGAGAUCUACUGAGAGAAAAAUAAAGGCUCAUUUACGUUUCUUGUGGUGCAGGAACAUUCUCUGUGACAGCAGAAUGAUCAAAUUAAGAUAGCAUCUGUAAAUUAAUUGUGAGUAUAUUAGAAGAUUAUGCCACAAGCCCGCUGUGUAGGAACCAAACAAGGACAGCAGCCAAAGUCCACCAUCUUUGAUUUGCUUUCCAAUUUCAACCUUUCCAAUCUUGUCAAAUUGUUUCAUAGUAUCCCAACCAUUGUGCCAGACCAUAGUGCCCACAUUUUGUUUGGCAGUGGGAGGGCCCCAAAAUGAUGGAUACCACCCCAAAACACAUUAUACACUGCAGGCUACUCUCUUAGUGGGAAAAAACAUUCAGAACCUAAACUCUACACUAAGAACAUUAUGUGGGCUAAUAUUGUCUGAUGGGUCUGUUGUACCUUUCUAUCAACAAUACAUGACAUUUAAACAUACAGCAUUAGAUUUGUGAAAAAGUUUCAACCACAGUUAUUCCCCUUAAAUCUAUUUUACUUAGAACCUCAUUAUCAUGUUAUUGUGAAUAUUGUUUAACAUUUUGAAAAUGUCUCUGCUUAAUGGGAAUUAAUUUGUUAGAAUUAUCAUGUGCCAUAUUUAAAAUGUAAAAAGUAUGCAUUUCCUUAGACAGCCAGUGAUCCUGCAUAAUGUGUACUUUUUAAUGCAAUUACUUAAAAUGUGUGGAAAGUCAGCAUGUUUUGGAUUAAUUUUCACAGCCAGUAUGUGUGAUUAUUCUUUCAUACUCUUCAAACAUGGAUUCUAAUUA
rnacentral:lncRNA from 13 species